UCUCUGAGAAGCUAAGAAUAUCCUAAAGAAAAGAUAUGGGGUGAGGAGGGAGACCUUUAGCCUGGUCUGAACCUUGUUAUCUCACACCAUGGGUCAGGGGAUGAUGCCACUACCUCCAAACUCCAAAACCCUCAAAGAACAGCUGCUCUGGUGGUUUCUUCCUGGCUCUGAGGGGGGCGGGGCCAUGGGAGGGGCGUUUUUGUACAAAGCUAAAACAUUGUGGGGACAGGGGUCCACGGUGAUUCAUUUCUAUGGGAAACCUUUACAAAAACAUCUCUGCUUGAUCCAACCCCACAGCUUCUUCACUUUGAGUCACAGGCCCAAGAGUGGCUUGGAUCAUAAUGCCUCCACCUCACUCCUGUCUACCUACCCAGGCAAGGCCAAGGAUAAGGACAAGCCUGGAUCAGAACUGAAGCUUCCAGGCAGAGAGCACAUAUAUGACCUGGAACAGGUGAACCCACCCACGGUCAAUGUGUUCGAACCAUCCGAAGCAGAGAUUGCCCGGACACAGAAGGCCACACUUGUGUGCCUGGCCACAGGCUUCUACCCCGACCACGUGGAGCUGAGCUGGUGGGUGAAUGGGAAGGAGAUCCAGAGUGGGGUCAGCACAGACCCUCAGCCCUACAAGGAGCAGCCCCACCUUGAGAACUCCACCUACUGUCUGAGCAGCCGGCUCAGGGUCUCUGCUACCUUCUGGCACAAUCCUCACAACCACUUCCGCUGCCAAGUCCAGUUCUUUGGGCUAGAUGAGGCAGACAAGGACGCCCGGCCCACAGCCAUCACCCAGAAUGUCAGUGCUGAGGCCUGGGGCAGAGCAGAUUGUGGCUUCACCUCAGCAUCCUACCAGCAAGGGGUCCUGUCUGCCACCAUCCUCUAUGAGAUCCUGCUGGGGAAGGCCACUGUGUAUGCGGUGCUGGUCAGCGCCCUGGUGCUGAUGGCCAUGGUCAAGAGAAAGGAUUCCUGACACCAGCUCCGAGGUGCAGCCAGGAACUUCCAGCCUAUUAUAUUCCCAACAUGGAUUCCCCUUUUCCCCUUCCUAGCCAGUGCUUCUGAAGAGCUGUCUCAAUCUCUCAAUUCAUCCUUAUAUCCACUCGCUAUAUACUUGCACAGCUGAACCCUCAUGACUAAAAUCUCCCUAACCCCAGGGGAUCCUGGUGUGCCUACAUUGACUGAACCAAUAAAAAUGGCCUGUUCUGGCUUGAUUCUG